UGGGGAAUUUUGGACAAUGGGGGCAACCCUGAUCCAGCAAUGCCGCGUGUGUGAAGAAGGCCUUCGGGUUGUAAAGCACUUUUGUCCGGGAAGAAAUCGCACCUGAUAAUACCGGGUGUGGAUGACGGUACCGGAAGAAUAAGGACCGGCUAACUACGCGCCAGCAGCCGCGGUAAUACGUAGGGUCCAAGCGUUAAUCGGAAUUACUGGGCGUAAAGCGUGCGCAGGCGGUUGUGCAAGACCGAUGUGAAAUCCCCGGGCUUAACCUGGGAAUUGCAUUGGUGACUGCACGGCUAGAGUGUGUCAGAGGGGGGUAGAAUUCCACGUGUAGCAGUGAAAUGCGUAGAGAUGUGGAGGAAUACCGAUGGCGAAGGCAGCCCCCUGGGAUAACACUGACGCUCAUGCACGAAAGCGUGGGGAGCAAACAGG
rnacentral:rRNA from 1 species